rnacentral:rRNA from 1 species
UUAAUUAAUAAUUAAUUAAGAUUGAUCCUGUCUUGUUUUAUGUUGAUUGGCUAUUAAUUAGAUAAUAUUAAAUACAAGU